rnacentral:rRNA from 1 species
UACGUAGGGGGCAAGCGUUGUCCGGAUUUAUUGGGCGUAAAGCGCGUGUAGGUGGCCAUGUAGAUCCGCUGUGAAAACUUGAGGCUCAACCUCAAGCUGUCGGUGGAAACCACAUGGCUAGAGUCCGGAAGAGGAGAGUGGAAUUCCUGGUGUAGCGGUGAAAUGCGCAGAUAUCAGGAAGAACACCAAUGGCGAAGGCAGCUCUCUGGGACGGUACUGACACUGAGACGCGAAAGCGUGGGGAGCGAACAGG